rnacentral:rRNA from 1 species
AUGAGCGGCCAUGGUGUUAAUGGCCAAAUGGUUGACGGCCACGUCUACCCCGGCGCGGUGGUGUGUGGAGGCUGUGCUGCUUCAAAACCUACCUGUGGCACGAGGAGGAUGAAGCUAAAACUUCGCUCCCGUGCUGACAAUUGGGUUCGGAGUGAGCUCCAAACGAGUCCCCCGCGGUCUCCAAAUAUGGCGUUUGAGAGGUGGAUACUAGAGAGCUGUUAUUUUUUGUGCUCCGUGAUCAGUAUGAUAGUUAUUAUGCAGUUUGAGAUCUCCUUUGGUUUAAAGAAAUUUCAUAGGAAUUCUAGAGGAUAG